UACGAAGGGGGCUAGCGUUGCUCGGAAUGACUGGGCGUAAAGGGCGCGUAGGCGGAUGGCACAGUCAGAUGUGAAAUUCCUGGGCUUAACCUGGGGGCUGCAUUUGAUACGUGUGAUCUAGAGUGAGGAAGAGGGUUGUGGAAUUCCCAGUGUAGAGGUGAAAUUCGUAGAUAUUGGGAAGAACACCGGUGGCGAAGGCGGCGCUCUGGGACCGAGACUGACGCUGAGGCGCGAAAGCGUGGGGAGCAAAACAGG
rnacentral:rRNA from 1 species